AGGCAGCAGAGAUGAUUUAGCAUCGUCCAUGCACAGGAGCUCUGGUUGCCUCUGUAUAAUAGGAGGAUGGAGAUUAAUAGUGGACGCACUGGACCAGAAAUGAGGAUUCUUCCUCAGGUGCCAGCCUAGGAUGGCAUCUUGGUUGUAAGAGCCAGAACACCCAUCAUUAUUCUGUGGGGAUGCACCUUAUGAUUGCAUCUCUGGGUUAGAAGCACAGAGACCAAUG